rnacentral:rRNA from 1 species
GACGAACGCUGGCGGCAGGCUUAACACAUGCAAGUCGAACGCGCCCUUCGGAGCGAGUGGCAGACGGGUGAGUAACGCGUGGGAACCUACCUCAUGGUACGGAAUAACUCAGGGAAACUUGAGCUAAUACCGUAUGUGUCCUUCGGGAGAAAGAUUUAUCGCCAUGGGAUGGGCCCGCGUCGGAUUAGCUAGUUGGUGGGGUAACGGCCUACCAAGGCGACGAUCCGUAGCUGGUCUGAGAGGAUGAUCAGCCACACUGGGACUGAGACACGGCCCAGACGCCUACGGGAGGCAGCAGUGGGGAAUAUUGGACAAUGGGGGCAACCCUGAUCCAGCCAUGCCGCGUGAGUGAAGAAGGCCUUCGGGUUGUAAAGCUCUUUCGGCAGGAACGAAACGGUGAGCUCUAACAUAGCUCGCUAAUGACGGUACCUGAAGAAGAAGCACCGGCUAACUA